rnacentral:rRNA from 1 species
UACGAAGGGGGCUAGCGUUGCUCGGAAUCACUGGGCGUAAAGCGCACGUAGGCGGCUUCUUAAGUCAGGGGUGAAAUCCUGGAGCUCAACUCCAGAACUGCCUUUGUUACUGAGAAGCUUGAGUCCGGGAGAGGUGAGUGGAACUGCGAGUGUAGAGGUGAAAUUCGUAGAUAUUCGCAAGAACACCAGUGGCGAAGGCGGCUCACUGGCCCGGUACUGACGCUGAGGUGCGAAAGCGUGGGGAGCAAACAGG